rnacentral:lncRNA from 1 species
UGGGGCUCUCCUUGUUCAGAAAUAUUCAUGCAGAUGUUAAUAAGCAUUUCUUCUCUUUACAGGGUCCACGGGGAUUAUUGGGCCCCAGAGGUACACCUGGCCCCCCUGGACAACCUGUACGUAGGAUGUUUUUUAUAUUUGCAACUUCUGGAAGAAAAAUGAAAGUCCAUUGAAAGUUGCUUGUGUUUUUAUCAUUUGUUGUAGGGCAUUGCGGGUGUUGAUGGACCUUCGGGCCCAAAAGGAAACAUGGUGAGUAAAUAAAUUGGGAAUUAAAAAGGGAGCGAAUUCUAAAAAUCCUUUUUAUAUUCUCUCGUCCUUGCCAGUGCUACCCCUUCCAUUUUAUUGAAUUUUUUGUUAUCCCAUUCAGAUGCUUCAUGAUCUUACACUGAAAAGAGAAUCUUCUAUUGCUUAGUCUUCAGCCAAAAGACCUAACCAAGCAUUCUCUAAAGCUCCUUUAGCACCAUGGACUCCAGUGCUUAGGUCCCAUGUGUGGACUGUUAGUCUCUUUUAAAGCAAAGACCAUGAUAUUCAUUAGCAUGAAAAAAAAAUCAUACUGGAUAGAAAGUUGGUGGUAGAGUUUUAAGAGGGAGGAACAAAGAUGAGUUUGUAUUCCUUUUAGUCCUGACAAUGAGGAUCUGUAGUGCAGAAAAGCAAACCUAAUGCCUUGAUAUUUUUUUUGCAUGAUAGGGUCCUCAAGGGGAGCCAGGACCUCCUGGUCAGCAAGGAAUCCCAGGCCCGCAAGGGCUUCCUGGUCCGCAAGGUCCUAUUGGACCUCCUGGAGAAAAAGGACCUCAAGGAAAGCCUGGCCUGCCUGGCCUUCCUGGUUCCGAUGGGCCUCCUGGGCAUCCUGGAAAAGAGGGUCAGUCUGGAGAGAAAGGUGCAUUGGUGAGUUUCAAAACUUUUCUAUUUACUUACAUAGCAUUUUUUCUGUUUUAUGGUACACCUGCUACUCAAAGAACUAUUCAAGAAGAUAACAGAAAACCCAUGAUACAUGCAGAAUAUCUGUGUGCAAACAUAUUAACUAUAUUCUAAAGGAGAUUAGUAAUAUGAGCACAGAGAUUACUCUUUUAAAGUAAAACUGAUUAUGGAGUUGACAGAAUGGUAAUCAAUAGAAAUUGUUUACAUGUCACAUGGAUAACUUGUAAAUAGUUUGACUUUACAAUUCUGCAGUAUACAGUAGCUGCUAGGACUCUUCAGAACUUUGUUUUUUGGAAACUUACAAAUGCA